rnacentral:rRNA from 1 species
AUUGAACGCUGGCGGCAGGCCUAACGCAUGCAAGUCGAGCGGAUGAAGGGAGCUUGCUCCUGGAUUCAGCGGCGGACGGGUGAGUAAUGCCUAGGAAUCUGCCUGGUAGUGGGGGAUAACGUCCGGAAACGGGCGCUAAUACCGCAUACGUCCUGAGGGAGAAAGUGGGGGAUCUUCGGACCUCACGCUAUCAGAUGAGCCUAGGUCGGAUUAGCUAGUUGGUGGGGUAAAGGCCUACCAAGGCGACGAUCCGUAACUGGUCUGAGAGGAUGAUCAGUCACACUGGAACUGAGGCACGGUCCAGACUCCUACGGGAGGCAGCAGUGGGGAAUAUUGGACAAUGGGCGAAAGCCUGAUCCAGCCAUGCCGCGUGUGUGAAGAAGGUCUUCGGAUUGUAAAGCACUUUAAGUUGGGAGGAAGGGCAGUAAGUUAAUACCUUGCUGUUUUGACGUUACCAACAGAAUAAGCACCGGCUAACUUCGUG